rnacentral:rRNA from 1 species
UACAGAGACCUCAAGCGUUAUCCGGAAUCAUUGGGCGUAAAGCGUACCGAUCGGUGGUUUUACAAGUCAGAAGUGAAAUUCCAAGGCUCAACUUUGGGACUGUCUUUUGAAACUGUAAAACUAGAGGGGCAAAGAGGAAGCUGGAACAAACGGUGUAGUAGUGAAAUGCGUUGAUAUCGUUUGGAACACCAAUAGCGAAGGCGGGCUUCUGGGUGCCACCUGACACUGCUAGGACGAAAGCGUGGGGAGCGAAUGGG